rnacentral:rRNA from 1 species
AACGAACGCUGGCGGCAUGCCUAACACAUGCAAGUCGAACGAGACCUUCGGGUCUAGUGGCGCACGGGUGCGUAACGCGUGGGAACCUGCCCUUAGGUUCGGAAUAACUCCCCGAAAGGGGUGCUAAUACCGGAUAAUGUCUUCGGACCAAAGAUUUAUCGCCUUUGGAUGGGCCCGCGUUGGAUUAGCUAGUUGGUAGGGUAAAAGCCUACCAAGGCGACGAUCCAUAGCUGGUCUGAGAGGAUGAUCAGCCACACUGGGACUGAGACACGGCCCAGACUCCUACGGGAGGCAGCAGUGGGGAAUAUUGGACAAUGGGCGAAAGCCUGAUGCAGCGACGCCGCGUGAGGGAUGACGGCCUUCGGGUUGUAAACCUCUUUCAGCAGGGAAGAAGCGAAAGUGACGGUACCUGCAGAAGAAGCACCGGCUAACUACGUG